rnacentral:tRNA from 1 species
GUCGAGGUUGCGUAUUUCGACCGUGGUGGUUUCCUCUUUCACGGCAAGAUCAAGGCUUUGGCCGAUGCAGCCCGUGAAGGUGGUUUGAAGAUCUAAGAAAAGCGUAGGCCGGGGGUUCUUCCCCGGCUUCGAUG